rnacentral:rRNA from 1 species
CAGCAGCCGCGGUAAAACGUAGGGUGCAAGCGUUAAUCGGAAUUACUGGGCGUAAAGCGUGCGCAGGCGGUUAUAUAAGACAGAUGUGAAAUCCCCGGGCUCAACCUGGGAACUGCAUUUGUGACUGUAUAGCUAGAGUACGGCAGAGGGGGAUGGAAUUCCGCGUGUAGCAGUGAAAUGCGUAGAUAUGCGGAGGAACACCGAUGGCGAAGGCAAUCCCCUGGGCCUGUACUGACGCUCAUGCACGAAAGCGUGGGGAGCAAACAGGAUUAGAUACCCCCGUAGUCCCUGUCUCUUAUAC